rnacentral:rRNA from 1 species
CGCCUAAACUAUGGUGUUAUCAGCCUCAUUCCCAAAGUCAAAGGGGCCGACACUAUCAAGCAGUACCGUCCUAUCACUCUUAUUAACGUGCCUUUCAAGAUCUGCUCUAAGGCUUAUGUGACCAGACUUGCCCCGGUAGCGCAGCGUGUUAUCAAUCGUAGCCAGUCAGGUUUUCUCAAAGGUCGCAACAUUCUCGAAGGGACGAUAGUGUUGCAGGAGACCGUCCACGAGCUUAAACGCACUGGGCAACCGGCCGUGCUCCUCAAGCUCGACUUUGAACUGGGAGUUCAUUCGCGAGGUGCUGACUCGGAAGGGAUUCGAGUCAGGCUUUGUUCACCGCAUCAUGCACCUGGUCUCGGGAGGCCAGACUGCUGUGUCGAUCAACAGAGAGGUUGGGAACUUCUUUCGCAACAAACGAGGCCUCAGGCAAGGGGAUCCCUCCUCGCCUCUAAUCUUCAACUUUGUUGCGGACGCCCUCUCAGCCAUGGUUUAUAA